rnacentral:rRNA from 1 species
GCAAUGCCGCGUGCAGGAUGAAGGCCUUCGGGUUGUAAACUGCUUUUGUACGGAACGAAACGGUCUGCCCUAAUACGGUGGGCUAAUGACGGUACCGUAAGAAUAAGCACCGGCUAACUACGUGCCAGCAGCCGCGGUAAUACGUAGGGUGCGAGCGUUAAUCGGAAUUACUGGGCGUAAAGCGUGCGCAGGCGGUUAUGUAAGACAGAUGUGAAAUCCCCGGGCUCAACCUGGGACCUGCAUUUGUGACUGCAUAGCUAGAGUACGGUAGAGGGGGAUGGAAUUCCGCGUGUAGCAGUGAAAUGCGUAGAUAUGCGGAGGAACACCGAUGGCGAAGGCAAUCCCCUGGACCUGUACUGACGCUCAUGCACGAAAGCGUGGGGAGCAAACAGGAUUAGAUACCCUGGUAGUCCACGCCCUAAACGAUGUCAACUGGUUGUUGGGUCUUCACUGACUCAGUAACGAAGCU